GAACUGUUAGUACAUGGAGAGCCGGUGGAAAGAAAUAACAAGGGAACAACACCAAAUCAGAGAGGCUAUUGGAGUAUGGAAACCCUAAACCCUAAGCACCUGCAAAAUCACCAGAAAAUUUGCAGAGAUCACAUAAUCUAUCUAUUCCACGACACUAAACUGGUCAGUUUGCAUAAAAGCACUGGGGACAUAGAAUAACCACAAUAUUUAGCAUGUACAGUGCAAAAAAAAGAGCAUUUCCAAAGUAGUAAAUUAUAGUAGCUAUAAGCCUAAAAACACUGAAAAUACAGUUACCAAAUUGCUGAAAUUACAUAUACUAGAAAAUCAUGUGCACAACUAAGGUUGCUUACACAAAUGGGCAGAAAUAAAGUACGAGUAUACCAAUAACCCUAACAAAAGAAAAUAAAUUGUUCUAAAGUGAAUGCACCAACAAUGACAAAACCCAAACAUCCUGAGGGCUAAAUUAACUAAAAAGAUAAUGUGAUUACUCUCAAAUACUCACUGUAAUUACACUGAAAUCCCCACUGUAAUUACAAUUCAAAAGCACUAUAAUUCCACUGAAAAUGCACAUAAUAAUUCCACUAAAAUUUCACUGAAACAUACAUUGUGCUCACAGUACAAAUUUCAGUAAAAUUAUACCAGAUUUCUAAUAAAAACACAUGCAUUUAAGAGAUUAGAACAUUGUGAUUACACUUUAGUUUCAGUAAUAUCCAUUUAGACUUUCAAAUGGUAAACUGGAUUCAAUACAAAUCCAACAAAGAGAAACCCAAAAUGUUCGGUUCUAAAAGUGCAAGUGGGCAUUGCAAAACUAGGAAGCUUCCAGUACUUGCCUAUGGAACUUGCAGUACUAAAAAACUAGGAAACUCACCAGUGUGAUACAAAUUCAAAAAUGUUGCAAACUAAUGGAAUUCAAAUGGAAGUUACACUACUUACUUGUGGAACUUACACUACUGAUUAGGGAACUCAAACCUAUGACUACAUGACUCGUCGAGCGAGGCCUUGCUUUCUAUAAACACCUCACCAUUGAAUGAGAAACUUAGUCUCCGAAACGACUAAGACAGAAGACAUGGUCAAGCCGACGCCGCCCUUCCUCACAUGCCCGAAUGGAAUUAAUAUUUUAUUCAUCUAGUCGGGAAGGGAAAAAGACUGGCAGCGAACAGGACCGUGACUCAUCUAAACCAUUACAUGAAAGAGAAGUUCAUUCUCGUCAUGAUCCUGAAAUAUAACACACACAAAACCCUAAGCAUCAAAUAUAUGAGGAUACAACAACACUGACAUGACUGUACCAAACCAUACUACAGAAUGAGUGAAAAACUGAAAUUGCACAACACCAAAACUGAAAAUUACACAACCUAAUAAGGAGAUAGCAUCUAAAGUACCAACACCUCAUUAUAGAAGUACUAGGGCAGAGAAAUUCAUGAACAAAAAAUAGCUGAAGAUACAACACAAACCACCAAAUACAUACAGAACCAAAACAGAAUGAAUAAGAACAUUCACAUGACUAAGGACCUGACUUCAGACGAGGGAGGUUUGCCUAAAUUACUACUACAUCUCUACAUCACUUGAACCUAAAUUCAGAUCAAUGAUUGACAAUUAGGACAUGCAUCCACAUCACAAGGGCCAUCAGAAUAAAAAAUGACUGGUGAACCAAAUUCAGAGCAAGGAGCAAGGAUUGACCAUUACCGCCGACUUCUACAUCACACAGACGAGCAAAAUCAACCGACCAGGGCAAAGGAAAUUUAGAGCAAGGACUGAAAUAAGCACCUGCAUCUACAUCACACGAACAUACAGAAACAAGCAACCAAGGAACCUACAUCUAACCCCCCCAAAACACCCUCUGAAUCAGACUCCCAGGCUAGCAGAUAUCAAAUCAACAGGGGAAGAGCAAGGAACUAAGGACCUACAUCUACAUAACAUGAACGAUCAAGAAUAAAACUACCAAUACCACUAGAUCCAGCAGAUCAGACGCCUAGGCCAGCACAUAGAAAAUCGACAGGGGAAACGAAUUCACCGCUACAUCCAUGCACCUACCACUACAAGAACAACAAGAAUUGCCAGAGAAAAUACACCGCUAUGAGUACACGUACACGUACGUCUAUAUCAAACACCGGGGGAAUUGAAUCAAACCAGUAGAUCUAGAAGAAAUCCAGUGGGGGAAAGAGAGCAGACGAGAACAACCAACCAAAACCACAAGAAACUGGAUCGGAAAUCAAGCUGUAGUAGAGAAGGAGCUGGGAAUCACCAUGGUGGACAAGGAAAUCGCCAAGGAAUCGAAAGGACAGAAAUGGAAAAAAAGGAGACAGAGGGCUAGGGCCUAGGGGAUGGGCACUUGGGCAGUAACGGGUUGGCCCGGAAACUAUUAC
rnacentral:lncRNA from 1 species